rnacentral:rRNA from 1 species
UACGUAGGGUGCAAGCGUUAAUCGGAAUUACUGGGCGUAAAGCGUGCGCAGGCGGUUCGCUAAGACCGAUGUGAAAUCCCCGGGCUUAACCUGGGAACUGCAUUGGUGACUGGCGGGCUAGAGUAUGGCAGAGGGGGGUAGAAUUCCACGUGUAGCAGUGAAAUGCGUAGAGAUGUGGAGGAAUACCGAUGGCGAAGGCAGCCCCCUGGGUUAACACUGACGCUCAUGCACGAAAGCGUGGGGAGCAAACAGG